rnacentral:lncRNA from 1 species
GUGGGUGCAGGGUGUGUGUGUGUGUGUAUGUAUGUGUGUGUGUCUCUGUGUGUCUUUGUGUGUGUCUGUGUGUGUAUCUGUGUCUGUGUAUGUCUGUGUGUGUGUGUGUGUAUAUGUGUCUGUGUCUCUGUGUGUGUGUGCAUGUGCUUUAUCUGUGUGUGUGUGUGUGUGUCUGUGUGUCUCUGUGUGUCUGUGUGUGUGUGUGUACAUGUGUGUCUAUGUGUGUCUCUGUGUGUGUGCGUGUCUCUGUGUGUGUGUCUGUGUGUGUACAUGCGUGUCUGUGUGUCUGUCUGUGUGUGUACAUAUGUGUCUGUGUGUGUGUCGGUGUCUCUCUGUGUAUGUGGGUGUCUGUGUGUGUGUCUCUGUGUGUGUGUGUGUCUCUGUGUGUGUCUGUGUGUGUGUCUGUGUCUCUGUGUGUAUGUGGGUGUCUGUGUGUGUGUGUUUCUGUGUCUGUCUGUCUUUGUGUGUAUGUGUGUGUCUGUGUGUGUUGUGUGUGUCUGUGCAUGUGUGUGUCUGUGUGUGUCUGUGUGUGUGUGUGUAGGGGGUCUGUUCUGAUGCCUGGGCUCCGGCAGCCGCCUCACCUGCAGCCGUUCUCAUUGCCCUGCCCGGCCGUCUCCAUGUGGAAUUGGGAGGGGCUCUGCCCCGCCUCCUCUGAGAGACACCGAUGGACUGGGUGUGUCAGCUUCUUGCAUCACCAAGCUCAUCCUUCCUCCCGUGACAGUGAAAGUCGCUCAGUUGUGUCCAACUCUUGCGACCCCAUGGACUGUAGCCCGCCAGGCUCCUCUGUCCAUGGGAUUUUCCAGGCAAGAGUACUACAGUGGGUAGCCUAUCCCUUCUCCAGCGGAUCUUCACAACCCAGGAAUCGAACCCAGGUCUCCUGCAUUGCAGGCAGAUUCUUUACCAACUGAGCUAUGAGGGAAGCCCCUCCAUGAUCAUCCCCAUUUUACAGAUGCGGAAACUGAGGUCCAGGGAGGUUGAGUAUUUUUGCACAGGCCACACAGAAAGUGCAGCCACGGACGAGGGGCGGGUCUUUCUGAGCCUCCGAAUCCCUGCCUGUCACUUCAGGAGAGGGGGGGUGUGAGGCUGGG